rnacentral:rRNA from 1 species
UACGUAGGAUGCAAGCGUUGUCCGGAAUUAUUGGGCGUAAAGAGUUCGUAGGCGGUCUAUUAAGUCAGGGGUUAAAGAUCAAGGCUCAACCUUGGGAGUGCCUUUGAUACUGGUAGGCUUGAGGAUGGCAGAGGAAAGUGGAAUUCCAAGUGUAGCGGUGAAAUGCGUAGAUAUUUGGAGGAACACCGGUGGCGAAGGCGGGUCUCUGGGCCGUAACUGACGCUGAGGAGCGAAAGCGUGGGGAGCGAACAGG